UAAUAACCAGAGGUCCUUUUAUCCAGACUGAAAGGCAGGUUAUCACACCUCAGCUGUCCACUGGGGAUGUGCAUUCUAGUUUGCCCCGUGCAGAGCCACAAGACGAGUCACACGCACGAGAAACACCCAGUCAUGUUUCUGAACCUGAGCCUUUGUUACACUCAGAAAGCAAUGAGGUGACCACAUCUCCCAUUCCAUCUGAUGAAGGUCCAGGUUGGGUUGUUAUUGACAUUCCUGAACAAACAGAAUCUGUUGAAAUGAAUCAAGAAAGCAGCGACACUGCUGAGCAGAGUUCAGAGCCAGAGACAGUAGAGUUGCGGCGUUCUGGGAGAGAGAGACGCCAACCUCGUAAACUAACUUAUGAUGAGUUAGGUGAGCCUUUAAUUUUGGCUCUCAGUUCCUUUUUGUCAGAGUUUCGCAAUUGUAUUCUCUCAGAGCACUUUCCUUCACACACCUGUUAAGUCAAGUGUGCAUGCAGAGACUCAUGCACUUUAGAGGGGGAGAGUGUAACCCAGAUCAUUGUUUGAGUAUGGGAUUUCUGAUUAUUUGUGGUCACUGAACGCACCACUGUGCCGUGCGCAUAGCCACUCUCUAGUCCAGCUACAGAGUUUUUCCUUCCGUUCAUCCGAUGAGGCGCAUGCUGCUCUCGUGCCCUCUACGAGCUGGAAAUUCGGGAAAAAGUCUUGUAGCGGUUACAAACGUGAAGCGGAGCUGAGUCCGACAGCAUUCGCCAUUACACGAACUCCUCUGGCUGGUUUGUUUGCCCUUUUGGUGCCCUGGAUCCUACUGGAUGAACUGCCUUGUGGAAGUCCUCAUCUGAUGACUCUGCCGAACCGUCCUGGCAAAUAGAUGGUCGUUGCUGCUUGCUGGAUGCUAUUAUUGGAUGCUACACCGUUCCAACAGAGCGGUAGGAACAAUUCAAAGGGCCCC